AUGGGUGAUGCUGCCAGGGGACGCCAUCCCCAUCAGCCCCCCGAGCUGCUGGGUGGUCACGGAGCCCGUCCCCCCCCAUGGCACCAAGGAGCAGGGAGGUGCCAGCACCCCCACAGCCCUCGGCCUGGCCUUGGCUUAUCCCGGUGGUCCCAGGCCCCGCAGAGCAUCCCUCUGCCGUGGCAGCCCCUGGGGACCCGAAACGCCGGGUCCUCUCGCGCUGCGGCUGCGGCUGGGGGCCAGGGAGCCAUGGCAACCCGGCGAGGAUGGGGGUUGCCAUGGCGACGGGAGGCGCAGCAUCCGGAGCGGCUUUUGGGCGAGGGAUGCUCCAGCAUUUGUCAGCAUCCUGAUACAGAAGCGGACAGCGUCACCGGUAACACCGCCGCGUGCGCCCCACGGCUCUGCGCGGCCCCAGCACGCACCAACCCCGCUGGGUUUUUCCCAAGGGCUCGUCCUCCGCACGACGACCAGCCCAGGAGCCAGGUUGGCAGCCACCCUUCCUCCCUGCGAUGCUCCCAGCACCUCGCGGGCCGGGCCCUUUCCCCCAUGCAGGAAACGUGGCGGGGCUGCGCCGCCAGCGUGUGCCGGCAAAGCGGGCUCGCGAGCGCUCGCAGCAAUUCCAGCCCCGGAGCUUGCGGCUGGGCUUCGCCUCCUAAGCCUGCUUCCAACUUUUUUGUGCUGGGAGAAGAGAUUUGUCUGCAAAUGUAUGUGGUUAAAAUAAACGCCGAGAAUUUUAAUCCUGGGAAUUUGGAAAGUAGGAGAUUUAAAAUAACAAAACCCUUUCAUAUGGCGCUUAAUCCGAAAUUAGGUGGGAUUUUAAGUUUUGUUACGGUGGUGGCUGAUCGUUCCUCGGCCACCUCCUGCUUGCUGCGGGCUGGGGACUGCUUGGAGUGCCCGGGCGGGGGCUGCUGGGGACCGGUGGCUGCCCCCCGGUGCUGGGGGCGGUGAGGGAGAGCGAGCGCUCUUCUUUGUUGACGUGGAAUGGAUCUCCCACAGCUACUUAAGGUUUUAAUUGCCCUGUGAUUAAAGUUUUCAUUACUAAGCAAUUAGCACCUGAAAUUUUAAGUGCUGAAGUGUUUAACUGCAUCCUGAAGCUUGCCAGAGGUGCGGGGUGGUGGAUGUGGGUGGGACGCGAGAGGGUUUUGAAGUGGGGAUGGGGAGCGGCGGGAGACGGCCUCCUUGCUGGGCUGCCACCAGCAGUGCCGGCUGCCCCAUCCCACCCCACUGCCCCCCAUCCCACCCCAUAGCACCCCAUCCCAUCCCACAGCACCCAUCCCGCCCCAUCCAUCCCGCGGGCAGCGCCGCACGGCACAGGGAGGAACGCCCGGAGGGGCGAGCGCCCAGGCAGCCUGGGAAGGAGACAGGCUGGAGCCGGCCCUGACCCGGCGGGAGACGCCGGCUGGGCGAGCUGGCACGGGGCGGCCCUCCCCG
rnacentral:lncRNA from 1 species